GAAGUCAGUGUUCGGCUGUGACUGAAAGGAGGCAGACAGACGGUGGGACUUAACCUGAGGGAGGACAGUUACAGCAGGGAGCACUGAAGUCCUGAAGCAGUGAAAUAAUUCAACUUCAACCUGCUGCUGACUGAAAAAACACCAAAGUUAAAGUUCCUCUCGUCCAAUCACAUCGCAGUGAUCGGGGUUUGUUCUUGAAAGCUGGUUGCUGAUUGGCUGCUGAGUGAGGAAGAGGUGUUCAGUUUAAAGUUGAGAGACAGCAGCUCUGCUCGGACCGCUCACACAGCGACACACGCUUCACUCAGAGACUAAAUGGCUUCCAGAUUAGAGGAGUAUCUCUGCUGUCCGGUCUGUCAUGAGGUCUUUAGAGAUCCUGUUGUUCUGUCAUGUAGCCACAG